UACAGAGGUCUCAAGCGUUGUUCGGAUUCAUUGGGCGUAAAGGGUGUGUAGGUGGCGCGCUAAGUCGGGUGUGAAAUUUCGGAGCUUAACUCCGAAACUGCAUUCGAUACUGGCGUGCUUGAGGACUGGAGAGGAGAGUGGAAUUCCUGGUGUAGCGGUGGAAUGCGCAGAUAUCAGGAAGAACACCCGUGGCGAAGGCGGCUCUCUGGAACGCAACUGACGCUGAGACGCGAAAGCGUGGGGAGCAAACAGG
rnacentral:rRNA from 1 species